rnacentral:rRNA from 1 species
GAUGAACGCUGGCGGCGUGCCUAAUACAUGCAAGUCGAGCGAACAGAUGAGGAGCUUGCUCCUCUGACGUUAGCGGCGGACGGGUGAGUAACACGUGGAUAACCUACCUAUAAGACUGGGAUAACUUCGGGAAACCGGAGCUAAUACCGGAUAAUAUAUUGAACCGCAUGGUGCAAUAGUGAAAGACGGUUUGGCUGUCACUUAUAGAUGGAUCCGCGCCGCAUUAGCUAGUUGGUAAGGUAACGGCUUACCAAGGCAACGAUGCGUAGCCGACCUGAGAGGGUGAUCGGCCACACUGGAACUGAGACACGGUCCAGACUCCUACGGGAGGCAGCAGUAGGGAAUCUUCCGCAAUGGGCGAAAGCCUGACGGAGCAACGCCGCGUGAGUGAUGAAGGUCUUCGGAUCGUAAAACUCUGUUAUUAGGGAAGAACAAAUGUGUAAGUAACUAUGCACGUCUUGACGGUACCUAAUCAGAAAGCCACGGCUAACUACGUG